CGUUGAUUACGUCCCUGCCCUUUGCACACACCGCCCGUCGCUACUACCGAUUGAAUGGCUCAGUGAGGCUUUCGGACUGGCCCAGAGAGGUCGGCAACGACCACUCAGGGCCGGAAAGUUAUCCAAACUCGGUCAUUUAGAGGAAGUAAAAGUCGUAACAAGG
rnacentral:rRNA from 1 species